rnacentral:rRNA from 1 species
CGUGUAGGCGGUAUCAUAAGUCAGUGGUGAAAGUUUGCAGCUUAACUGUAAAAUUGCCAUUGAAACUGAUUUUCUUGAGUGUAAAUGAGGUAGGCGGAAUGUGUUGUGUAGCGGUGAAAUGCUUAGAUAUAACACAGAACACCAAUUGCGAAGGCAGCUUACUGGGAUACAACUGACGCUGAGGCACGAAAGCGUGGGGAUCAAACAGGAUUAGAUACCCGCGUA